rnacentral:rRNA from 1 species
GAUGAACGCUGGCGGCGUACCUAAUACAUGCAAGUCGAGCGAACAGACGAGGAGCUUGCUCCUCUGACGUUAGCGGCGGACGGGUGAGUAACACGUGGAUAACCUACCUAUAGGACUGGGAUAACUUCGGGAAACCGGAGCUAAUACCGGAUAAUAUAUUGAACCGCAUGGUUCAAUAGUGAAAGACGGUUUUGCUGUCACUUAUAGAUGGAUCCGCGCCGCAUUAGCUAGUUGGUAAGGUAACGGCUUACCAAGGCGACGAUGCGUAGCCGACCUGAGAGGGUGAUCGGCCACACUGGAACUGAGACACGGUCCAGACUCCUACGGGAGGCAGCAGUAGGGAAUCUUCCGCAAUGGGCGAAAGCCUGACGGAGCAACGCCGCGUGAGUGAUGAAGGUCUUCGGAUCGUAAAACUCUGUUAUUAGGGAAGAACAAAUGUGUAAGUAACUAUGCACGUCUUGACGGUACCUAAUCAGAAAGCCACGGCUAACUACGUG